CCCAGACUCCUACGGGAGGCAGCAGUGGGGAAUAUUGGACAAUGGGGGGAACCCUGAUCCAGCGACGCCGCGUGAGUGAAGAAGUAUUUCGGUAUGUAAAGCUCUAUCAGCAGGGAAGAAAGAAAUGACGGUACCUGACUAAGAAGCCCCGGCUAACUACGUGCCGGCAGCCGCGGUAAUACGUAGGGGGCAAGCGUUAUCCGGAUUUACUGGGUGUAAAGGGAGCGUAGACGGCAUGGCAAGUCAGAUGUGAAAGCCCGGGGCUCAACCCCGGGACUGCAUUUGAAACUGUCAGGCUGGAGUGCAGGAGAGGUAAGUGGAAUUCCUAGUGUAGCGGUGAAAUGCGUAGAUAUUAGGAGGAACACCGGUGGCGAAGGCGGCUUACUGGACUGUAACUGACGUUGAGGCUCGAAAGCGUGGGGAGCAAACAGGAUUAGAUACCCUAGUAC
rnacentral:rRNA from 1 species